rnacentral:sRNA from 1 species
AAAAGACACCUUCUUUUCCUGGAGAACGGACUUUUUCAGCAGGAUUUUCUUUUCAGUGAAACGUAAUUUGACUUGAAAAAGAACCCCGGGAAAAGUGUCCCGGUGUGAGCGUGAGCGGGUAGAGGUGUGCCCUUGUUUGCCUCAGGCUGUCUGCUUUUCACCCCUGACUGUUUUUUCUGUUUCUAGCCAUGGAGGAAGAGAAAGAUGACGGCCCAGAGGCUGACUUCUGCCUGGGCACCGCCCUGCACUCUUGGGGGCUGUGGUUCACAGAGGAAGGUUCACCGUCCACCAUGCUGACGGGGAUUGCAGUUGGAGCUCUCCUGGCCCUGGCCUUGGUUGGUGUCCUCAUCCUUUUCAUGUUCAGAAGGCUUAGCCGAUUUCGGCAAGCACAGCCCACUCCUCAGUACCGGUUCCGGAAGAGAGACAAAGUGAUGUUUUAUGGCCGGAAGAUCAUGAGGAAGGUGACCACGCUCCCCAACACCCUUGUGGAGAACACUGCCCUGCCCCGGCAGCGGGCCAGGAAGAGGACCAAGGUGCUGUCUUUGGCCAAGAGGAUUCUGCGUUUCAAGAAGGAAUACCCGACCCUGCAGCCCAAGGAGCCCCCGCCCUCCCUGCUGGAGGCCGACCUCACGGAGUUUGACGUGAAGAAUUCUCACCUGCCAUCGGAAGUUCUGUACAUGCUGAAAAACGUUCGGGUCCUGGGCCACUUUGAGAAGCCGCUGUUCCUGGAGCUUUGCAAACACAUCGUCUUUGUGCAGCUGCAGGAAGGGGAGCACGUCUUCCGGCCCAGGGAGCCUGACCCCAGCAUCUGUGUGGUGCAGGACAGGCGGCUGGAGGUCUGCAUCCAGGACGCUGACGGCACCAAGGUGGUGGUGAAAGAGGUUCUGGCGGGAGACAACGUCCACAGCCUGCUCAGCAUCCUGGACAUCAUCACCGGCCACGCUGCACCUUACAAAACGGUCUCCGUCCGCACGGCCAUCCCGUCCACCAUCCUCCGGCUUCCAGCUGCGGCUUUUCACAGAGUUUUUGAGAAAUAUCCGGAAACUCUGGUGAGGGUGGUGCAGAUCAUCAUGGUGCGGCUGCAGAGGGUGACCUUUCUGGCUCUGCACAACUACCUCGGCCUGACCACAGAGCUCUUCAACCCUGAGAGCCAGGCCAUCCCUCUCGUGUCUGUAGCCAGCGUGGCUGCCGGGAAGGCCAAGAAGCAGGUGUUCUAUGGCGAAGAAGAGCAGCCUAAAAAGCCACCACGGCUCCAGGAGUCCUGUGACUCAGAUCACGGGGCGGCCGCCCAGCAGCUGCUGGGCCCCGGCUGAAGAGGAGCCCCUCCGUCCCCGCGCCUUCCAUUCGCAAAGAGAUCUUGGACGAGCUGGAGAAGCCCGGGGCAGGUGACCCCGACCCUUCGGCCCCACAAGCUUGUGCCUUCAAUCUCAUGCCUCGGCACCUGGGUGGCUUUCCACCCACAUGGGGGCACUGUCUGGUGGCAUUUCAGGCACUGACACCAGCGUCUACUCCUCAGCCUCAUCCGACUGCUGUGGGGGCUCCAUGCCUGUGCUGUGCAUCAUGGGGCCACAAGCCUCAUGUGACUGUUGACACCUAAACUCACUCAUGCCAGCUAAACUCACUCACGCCGGCUAAACUCAUUCAUGCCGGCUAAACUCAUUCGUACCAGUAAACUCAUUCACACCAGCCAAACUCAUUCACACCAGCCAAACUCAUUCACACCGGCUAAACUCAUUCGUACCGGCUAAACUCAUUCACGCCGGCUAAACUCAUUCACGCCGGCUAAACUCAUUCACGCCGGCUAAACUCAUUCGUACCGGCUAAACUCACUCACGCCGGCUAAACUCAUUCACGCCGGCUAAACUCAUUCGUACCGGCUAAACUCAUUCGUACCGGCUAAACUCAUUCGUACCGGCUAAACUCAUUCACACCGGCUAAACUCAUUCACACCAACUAAACUCAUUCAUACCGGCUAAACCCACUCAUAUCAGCUGAACUCACUCAUGCCAGCUGAACUCACUCAUGCCAGCUGAACUCACUCGCGCCAGCUAAACUCACUCAUGCCAGCUAAACUCACUCAUGCCAGCUAAACUCACUAGCGCCGGCUAAACUCACUCAUACCAGCUAAACUCACUCACACCAGCUAAACUCACUCACGCCAGCUAAACUCACUCGCACCAGCUAAACUCACUCGCACCAGCUAAACUCACUCAUGCCAGCUAAACUCACUCAUGCCAGCCACACUGCAGGUGCUCACUGGCCGCCCAUGGUUAGCGGCUACUUCUGGCCCAGCACGUGCUGCUCUCUGUCUUCUGGUGGGCGUGCAGUGGAGCCUGCCUGUGCUCUGAUUCUGUCUUCUUGAGCUGUGAGGCCGAGCACCUUUCAUGUCCACUUGGAUAGCCUUCUUUGUCUUUUGCCCAUUUUCCUCUUAGCUUUCAUUUUCUUAUUAAUAGGAAUUCUUUAUAUAUUCUCUGUAUGAUUCCUUUGUCCAGUAUGUAUAUUAAAAAUAUUUUCUAUC